AGUAACCUGCCUUGGAGUGGGGAAGUAACAGCUGGAAACAAGCUGCUAAUACCGCAUAAUAUAUCUGUGUCGCAUGGCACUGGAUAUCAAAGAUUUAUCGCUCUGAGAUGGACUCGCGUCUGAUUAGCUGGUUGGCGGGGUAACGGCCCACCAAGGCGACGAUCAGUAGCCGGACUGAGAGGUUGGCCGGCCACAUUGGGACUGAGACACGGCCCAGACUCCUACGGAAGGCAGCAG
rnacentral:rRNA from 1 species